GUUCGGAAUUACUGGGCGUAAAGGGCUCGUAGGCGGCAAAGUAAGUCGGAUGUGAAAUCCCCAGGCUUAACCUGGGAACUGCAUCCGAUACUGGAUGGCUUGAAUCCGGGAGAGGGAUGCAGAAUUCCAGGUGUAGCGGUGAAAUGCGUAGAUAUCUGGAGGAAUACCGGUGGCGAAGGCGGCAUCCUGGACCGGCAUUGACGCUGAGGAGCGAAAGCCAGGGGAGCAAACGGG
rnacentral:rRNA from 1 species